GGAUGGGGCCCGACGCGUCACGCCCCCAGCGCCCGCAGACAAGCAGGCUAGGGGAACCCGACGUCCCUCAGGCCACGUCGUGGGCCCCUCAGCCUGGCCUGAAGCGUACGAUGCUUUUCCUCAAUCCGGAGUCCUCAAUCCGGUGUCCUAGUCUCUAGAGGCAAGAGCAUCCAUCCCUCCUUCGAGAUGAGGCCCGGCCUCCUCUUGAUUAGUAUGCAGCAGCCCCAUCCCUCACCCCAAUCCAGUAUCACUUCCCAUGAACCUUUCUGGGACAACCAGGACAGGCACUAGCAACACCAGAGAGCUGCCUCUUAGCAUCUUCCAUUGCCUCCCACUAGGGCCCCUCAAGCCCUCCAUAACUCAUCCCUCACCAAUGGCCUGCCUAAACCCCACUUGUCUUUUGGGACUUAGUUCAAUGCCUCUGUUGCCAGGAAGCCUUCCCCAUGACCUUCUGGAUACCUGGAAUGGCCAGCGGCCCUUUCUCAGAUCUCAGCGCCUCUUCACCUGAGUCCUGUCUGGACUAAGAACUCUUGAGAGCAAGGGUCGUGCUGAAUUUGCCCAGCACAGCCUGACUUCCUGAUGCGUGCCUGGCAUGUAUUUGUUGAAUGAAUAGUUGGGCCCAGUAACUGGAAGAUUGGAUCUAUAAGGCUGGAGUUCAGGAAAGAGCUGGGCUACAGAGAUUUUUCCCCCCAGUUUUGAAGAUUGAAUCCAGGGCUCCUUGCAUUCUAAGCAAGGAUGCUACCACUGAGCUAUAUCCCAAUAUUGAAGAGAUGGUUUUGAGAGUCCUUGGGGAGCCACAGUCAUAAGUAGAGUCGUGGAAAGGCUCAAACAGAUCAACCGAAGCAAGGCUGAGAGGAUCAGCUCAAGAUCUAGGCAACAACAACAACAACAACAAAUCCUACAUAGAAACCUUGAAAAACAGUUCUGGGCUGGUAUGAUGGCUCUGCUCCACAAAAGCCUUUGAGAUGUGGCUCUCUCCACUCCCUGAACCAAGAAGCCCUGGAGAUGGCCCUUGACCUCGUGAUUCUGAAUAGGGGCUGGAAUGCCAGUUAUCACUUAUGCAUUCCAGGUUUUGGAAUGGAGAAAAAUAAUGAAGGGUCAAUGCUAACUCUUUAUGUUAUGUGGAUGGCUGUUUUCCCUACAUGUAUGCCUUAUAUGUGCAUCUGUGUGUGCUUAGGGAUAGUUGUGAGCCACCGUGUGGGUGCUGGGAACUGAACCUGGGUCCUCUGUAAGAACAGCAUGUGCUCUUAACACUGAGCCAUCUCUCUACCCCAGCAGUAGCUCUUUUAAAGAAAGUGCCACGGAACAUUCCCUGUGCAUCCCACUAACUUGAAUUUUGUCACAUAACCAGACCUGGUAGCAAGAGCAAGAACAUGAAAAGGUGCUGGGCAGUGGUGAUGCAUCCCUUUAAUCCCAGCACUCAGGAGGCAGACACAGGUGGAUCUCCAAGUUCAAGGCCAGCCUGGUCAAUAGAGCAAGUUCCAGAACAGCCAGGGCUACACAGAGAAACCCUAUCUCGAAACAAAGCAAAGCAAAACAAAAAAGGAAAGAAGGGGGGGGGGAACCUACCACCACAAAAUGCAACCUUCAUUAUAGGCAGCCAGAGUGUGUGUGUGUGUGUGUGUGUGUGUGUGUGUGUGUGUGUGUGAUUUCCAGAGACAAUGAGCAAUCAUGUGUACCAGGCACUGCCUUGGGCACUUCACAUGUAUUACCCCAACCCUAGCAGAGGUUGCCACCAGUACCCUGACACACCGAGGAGCCUUGGAGAGAAGCCACUUACCAAGGACAUAGGGUGAGCCAUGUGAGAGCUGCAAGAGGCCUUCUUCCCUGCACUUCAUGCCUGCCAGGAAACCAAGAGAGGCUGCACUGGGGUACCGCUAUAAGGAAUCUUUGAACAACUGUUAAAUGCUGGGAGCCAAGCAAGAUGCAGGCCCAAGUGUCCCUGUGGCUUUUACAUCAAGGACUCUGCUGGUGACCUUGGCAAGGGCAUCCGGAAGGGAUGGGGGUGGGUGGGAGAGGCCAGUUACUGAGAAGGGCAAACUGGUCUUUCUGGAAGGGUGGCAACGAGGAGGGAGUAGGCUGCUCUGCAGGGCAGCAUGAGCCAGAGAAGGAGGCAAGAGAGGAAGACGUGCAGAGCACAGGCUAAGAGAGAGGAGGCCGUCUUGUCCUGAGGUACUUUCUUUUCUUUCCAUGCAGGGGGAAAGGAACAGUAGGCACAGACUGUGGGGACUGGAAAAGAGGAGGAUGGAAGGUUCUUGGCUGGGAAAGCUGGCAGAAGGCCAGGGUCUGAGAGAACGACUGGUGCAUGCUGUCCACUCCGCUGGCCGCUACAUGUAAAAUAGCUACAUACAGCUAUUCUAGCAAAUUGAAAGUAAAUCAUCACUGGG
rnacentral:lncRNA from 1 species